UACGUAGGGGGCUAGCGUUGUUCGGAAUCACUGGGCGUAAAGCGCACGUAGGCGGAUUGUUAAGUCGGGGGUGAAAUCCUGAGGCUCAACCUCAGAACUGCCUUCGAUACUGGCAAUCUCGAGUCCGGAAGAGGUUGGUGGAACAGCUAGUGUAGAGGUGAAAUUCGUAGAUAUUCGCAAGAACACCAGUGGCGAAGGCGGCUCACUGGCCCGAUACUGACGCUGAGGCACGAAAGCGUGGGGAGCAAACAGG
rnacentral:rRNA from 1 species